rnacentral:lncRNA from 1 species
AAACUUUGUCCAGUUCAAUCAAGCCAUCAGCAACCAGAUAGCUUCAGUGGACAUUAUGUGUAUUACAACAUGGCUAAAGAUUCUAGAUUACACAAGGAUUUUCUCUAUAGUUUGCAUAUUGACAAAGUGGAAGAUGGCAUGGGAGAUCUGGUGGCAAACACUUAAGGUGCAAUAAUAGCUAUUUUUCCUAUAUCAUGACAAUACAUGGCAUGCCUCUAUAUUCAUUUCAUUCCAAAGAAGUCCUUCAGAAGGUCAAGUAAAUGGAGAAUCUUACAUGCAUGGCCCAAUGCAGUCUCCAAGAAGUGAUUUUGAAUGUACAGCUACACCAGUUACUGCAAUGCUGUGUCUGACCUUCCCAGCAUCUAAGAUAUUCAUGAGUAUCAAGGGGGAGAUGGGUCUAGGUGAAAGAAAAGGAAGUAGUCAUUCUUGAGAAGAAUGGUAUGGCCAAGAUAAGCCUGAACUCUCUAUCUUCUUCCAUUUGCUGCAGCUUCUUAUUGCCCGAUUGAGGUCACUCGCCCAUGGUGGUAAUGACAUCAGCAAUGCAGUACAUUCUCUGGUGGCUUUGUAUCUGGUUUAUAAUGUGGGAGAUGUUUCCUCAAGAGUGGUGACGCCAGUAUGGCUUCUGCUCUCUGGUGGUGAUGGCAUCUGCAUUAGCCUAGGGGUUUGGAGAAAGAGAGUUAUUCAGACCAUGGGGAAGAAUCUGACACUGUCACACCGCCUGGUGCCUUCAGUACUGGACUGGCUCCUGCCCUCAUUGGUGAUUGCAUCAAAUAUUGGCCUCCUCAUCAGUACAACACAUUGUAACAGUCUUCUUUGUACCUGGCUUUAAUCCAAGAAAGUUGUUGACUUAUGGCUCUUUCAUUAUAUUGUAUGGCCUGGUUUGUCACAAUCUUUAUUUCUGGAAUUAUCAGUGCUGCCAUCUUGGCUGACUUCAAGUAUGUCAUCCUCACAGUUUG